rnacentral:SRP_RNA from 1 species
GCCAGGCGUGGUAGUGCACGCCUGUAGUCCCAGCUACUUAGGAGGCUGAGACGGCAGGAUCACUUGAACCCAGGAGCUGAGGCUUCAGUGAGCCAUGAUUGUGCCACUGCACUCCAGCCUGGGCAACAAAGUGAGACCCUGUCUCAU